rnacentral:lncRNA from 1 species
AGAGCGAGUGCGUCCCCACCAGCCUGGCCGCCGCGGGAACUCGGGGACCGGGAGGGCGGGGGUUAGCGGGAGGAAAGGGGCACCAAGAGGCACCCUGAGAACUCAGAGGACCCAGAGGCUCCCCUCAAGCAAAUUCCCUGCUGACCCUGGACACCCCUUGAAGGAGGGGGCAAGAGGCUGCCACAAGGCUCAUCUUAUAACUCCCAGCAAGGACUCCCAGCAAACAAGUUCAGCUUGGGAUCUGCCCACCACCAAGCCUGGCUGGGAGGUGGGGGGGAGCGAGGGGCGGUGGAGAGGCAGAGUCCCUGAACAGGGAAAAGACAAUCAGUUGUUCCCCUUUCUGGUGUCAGAGGCAAAGAAGCCUGAAGGGCUGGUGGUGGUGCUGGCUCUGGGUUUAUUGACUCUGUGAUCCUGUCCAGCUGUCCUACAGGGAGUUCCAGAGCUCUCCCAAAGUGCAUGAGGAACUGCACAAGUAGGACUGGGGCACAAUACCAGAAGCUAUUUGUCUCCUAGAACCUGGCACCCCCUCCACUUACCUUACAGGAGACCCACAUCACUCAGUUCCCAGGACACCUGGUGGGAGAGUCUGGUGAGAUUUGGAGGCAGACUUCCUCUACUCACAACUUGUUUGAAAAUGGACAUAAAGAGAAGAACAGACACUCCAUCGCCCCUUCAGGGCCUCCUUUGUGUCACAAAACCUAUCCCCUCCUAGGGCACCCUUGACAUUCCCCUAGGUGGGCCUACACAUUGUUCAGAACCUGUCCCCUGUACCAAAAUAAAUAUAAAUGAGUUUGUUUCUUUAAAAGAAAUAUUACAGCUUUAAACUUUUCCCAGCCGGAAUCCACCUAAUUUCAUCAAGGUCUCUCGCUAGCAGCCAUAACCCAGGCCAAAAGGGCUUGUCCCUAGGGAGGCACCAAAGGGAGAAUACCCCAGGCCCAUUUCAUUCCACUGAGGUUUUUGAACCCCUAGGUGUCUAAGGUAAUACCACCACCAUCCCCACCUGUUUUCAGUUCUUUCUUUGUGGCUUAAGAUUGCAUUUUUGGAGGGUUUAUGUAAUGUUGUUCACGUCAGCAAGUCUCCCUGCCCCACCCUCACCCCACUGUCCUAUAUGGAAUUAUAGUUGGAAACCACACACACAUAGAAAAUCUUUGAAGAUUUUUUUCUGCUAUUCUUCCUGACUAGAAGAGUUGACAAGACAUAGACACAUUCAGUUGCAUAAAAUACAGUAGCGUGAUCAGCCUAAAUGCAUCUCAUUUGCACUGUUUGUAACCAGGGGUGGGGGCUUGUGUCACUCAUUGCCUCCCCCUCCUCUGCCCAAACCAGACCCGCCAGCUGGAAUUUCAGAGCAGGCCCCAAGGCAGCAGCCAUUUGGGAAGUGGAAGCCCUAGCCCACCCCAGUCCAGCAGGGGUGCGGGGUGGAUAGAGAAGGUGUCUGGAGGUCUGGCCUGAGGGCUUGGACCAACUUUGGCAGACCUGGGCUCUGGGAGGCUUGGCCGGUGGGUGACCACAGCUGGAAGUUGGAGGUCUGCAGCGAUGCUUCUGAGCUUCUCCUGAGUUGAGUUCAAGAAAGGGGACACCAAGAAGUAGGGGAACAGUCACUGACUAUAUUUUACAUCCACGCCUACCCCUUUCCCAGAGUUGUGUUCUCACCACCCACUUUGUCGGCGGAGGAGAAACACUGCUGCCUGAUGCUUGCACUGCUGCACUGUUCUUGCACCUGCUCCUAGCCCUGAACUCGGGCCCUGAGCUCCUCACUGCCGCCCGCUCUGCGCUGAGCCCCACUCCUGAGACCGCGAGGUGCCAGAGCAGCGCCUCUCCCACCAACUCCUAGACGCCUGUAGGAGCUGCGCCGGAGCCUUCAGAACCCCAUGGGGGUGUGGGGGUGAAGUUGGAGGUCAUCCGGGUGAUUUUUUUCUUACUUUUUCCUAAUUGUUCUCCUGCGUUGAUUUCAACUCUUCCAGUCUCCCGGUGCUGGGGCGCCAAUCCUUUCCCAACAAUUCCUACCCACCAGCUGGAGGUCGGGGCCCAGGGUUACCCCAGAGUUCUAUGGUGGCAGGGGGCGCCGAGUAGAGGGGCGGGAGGAGCUGGGUCCUCGGGAACCAAAGGGGACCUCAGCGGGGGCGGAGUGCGCAGCCUUGGCUGCUGGGAAAUGCCCAACUAGCCGCUGUGAGUGCCCACAGCGCGUCGUGGGGGCGUCCGUUCUGCAGCUCGGGUGACUCAGACGCCCUGCCAACCCCACCAGCUCCCGGCUUCUCGAACGCUCUUCUGAUCGCCCAGCGGGGAGACUUCAGGGCCUGCCUCGUCAGGCCAGAUUGCAGCCCGCGACCUUCCCGGAUUAACCAAG